GCACGUGUUCCCCAGACGGACGGAUAGAGAGUUACAUUAGAGAGACAGACAAGGUUAUAGAAUAAUUGUUUAAGAUUGCAAAGACUGAAGAUUUAAGAUUUAAGACUGAAGAAGAAAGAUCGGUAGCUCAGGACGUUGAAAAUCGAUUCUCGAUUUUCAGAUAACACAGGGAGUUACGAAAACAGCAUUGACUUUCAAGGCUGCUACUGUAGGACAUGUCUUUCAAACAUACGAAACAAGAAUCGCCCAGUUAUCAACCUUUUACGGUACAGGCAACAACAAAGCCUCGUCGCAGUUUCGCUCGGCUGUCUACCUAUGAGUCGUGAAAUUCAUUAGUACCGUGGGUGUAGUAACAUAAAAAGUGUGAAGAGGAACGAAACUGAAACAUGUCAUGAAAGCAACAAGUGCCAAACAUGUGUUUCAUUUUUAGGAACCGUGUAUAAACUUUUAAUAGUUUCUUCUUCAUUUGCUAUACAUCAUCCCUUCCAAUUAGAAAGUAACACUAAUUAAAGUAGCAGGAAAAGAGUUUCAAGCUUUUUCACUCCCCCUCUUUAGCAAUUUGAAAUAAAUAAUUAAGACAG
rnacentral:misc_RNA from 1 species